AAAAGAGAAAACAAGCCAUAUUGCUAAGAAAAGGGUAGUAAGCUGCUUAGAAAGAACCAGCCUGUGUUGGAAAUAAUUCUCUUUUAGAUAAUUCACCUUAUUUUCUUGGCUUGUACUAAUUGAAUGGAAGUGGUUAAUUUGUUCAGAGUUUAUUGCCUUUUGAUGCCACCCCAAACUAUAGUCCUGUGUGACUUUCCAUAUUGAAAGAGUAGAGUCAGUAGCCAGGUUGUCAGUCUUUUACAAAUGUCUACAUAAAUGUCUACAUAAAUCUGAAAGUGGUUUAUAUUCAAGGUUAGUUUUUCAGUAGCAUCUCCUCCUUAUUCAUUCACUUUUACUGUGAAGACUGAAAUCCAAAAGCCAAGUUCCCCAAAAAAGUAUUUUUUAAAAAUUUUAGGGGACCAGAAUAAAUAGAGGAAGACCAAUAUAAAAAAAAAUGUUCAAUUAUUUUUUAAAUUUAAAUUUAAAUUUUAAAUUUAAAGCAGAAAAAAAAUUAUGCCCCUCAGACCUAAAGGCAGCUUUAAAUGUAUACAGUUCGGUGAAACAUUUGGGAAAUAUUAAUUUGGAGGUUUAGAAGCAUACUGAAAAACAAAUUCAAAGCACUUGAAAGUAAAGACAAUACCAUGAGGUCGAAAAACCUUCAAAAGGAUAUUAGGUAAGAGAAAAUGUGAAUGAAAGCAGUGAAUUUCUGCCUCUCCUCGUAUUUAGGGUACUUAAAAUUACUAAAAAAUACGGUCUUUUUACCAUACAGCUAGAUGGCCUGUAUUAUUCUUAAUGUGGCCAAAGGAGUGAAGACUGAUUAGGGUUUUAGAAUUUGGAACUGUAGUCACAUAAAGGCAUCUUUUGCAUUUCUUAAACCAGUAAUCUACAGUUUCUCCUGGAAAUGGAGAAAUAUGAAAUGUGCUGUGCAUAGCUUUUGGAAUAGAAAACAAAGUUUUAAAAGAAUGUUUUCUUGCACAACUUGUAAAAUUUUAAUUAAAAAAUUACCUCAUUUUUCAAUCCAUAAGGUGCUUUGCUCAAGUUUGUGGGAUGUUUGUACCAUCCCAUAAAAACCCCCUUCACCCAAACUGUAUUUGAAAUAUGCAGAAUUCAUAACUAAGGGAUAGCAUUCCUUGGAGAUUUUGUUUUGUUUUACCCUUGUUUACCAGCUGGGCCAACAUGGUAGAUAUAUCAGAUUCACAUAUGGUUUCAUUAAAGCACAUAGGAAAGUGCUCAGUCAAUAUUUAAUUAGUUUAAUUAGAUAAGGGAAAGGAGAAAUCCUAAAUUUGAUGGAUUCUAUUAUACUGUGAAUAUAUUUCCAUCAGUGUUGGUAAGAUAUCAAAUGACUAUCAGUUGAUCCCAGUCAUCAGUGACUUAUUUGCAUAUUUAAGCCCUAUUCACAAGAGACCAUAAUCAUUUUAAUCUUAUAUUUUCCCUCAGGAAAUUUAGGGACUCUGAAGCCCCUAUUUUAUUCUCUUGGAGUAAACUGUUGAGUGUAGUUACAAAAACUUUUAUUUAUGACUUAAAAAAAGUUUAGCUGCUAUUUCAUUGAAAGUGUAAAAUAAAAUGGUCAUGAUUUUUUCAAUACAAAUUUUACCAUGUUCAUCUAUUCCACAGAGCAUGUUAAAAACAACAACAACAACAACAAAAACCUAACAGCAAUUGCAACCUUGGUGUUGCGUUUAUUCUAAUCAGAGUGAAUGAUUAUAAUCACACUUUGCUAUUUUAACAUAAAUUGGUGCUUUAGAGCAUUAGAGAGGAAGCAGCAGGCCCUGUACUCAAUAUUUAUUAUUUCUUGCCUCAGAAUGCAAAACAACUUUAAAGUGUCUAUAUUCAUAUAUAUGUGCAUUUCUUAAGAUUUAAAUACAAACUGUUGUUACUCCUUAAGCUUCAGGCUUUCUGCGAAAGCUCUAAGAAUAUCUUAAUUACUAUGCUUGGUCAACUAGAGGAUGGUAUUAAUAAGGUCAGAAUUAGGAAUUGGAUCGCUCUGUGGGUCCUCUGGUGUUGUGCAGAGGAAAGAAAAAUGUCUUUCACACCACAAACUGUGUGUCUGAACCGCAGCCAAACAAAUGUGUUCCACUGGUCCAAUAUAUAAGCAUUAACAACAACAAAAAAUUUAAAACAAGUAAAUUAAUGCAUUCACAUGAUCACUUCUUGAAAAUGGUUCAAAGCCUGUUUUCCUGAUGGUGGGGUUGUUUAAAUGACAUGUUUUAAAGUUUUUAAUACUUUAUUACUGUUAUGAAGUGCUUCUUUUAUAUGUUAAGUUUAGGUUGCCAGUACUCAUAAUUUUUAUUUCUGCAAUUAUGUUAUAAUGAGUUGUUUGCAUGCCUACUUAACCCAAGUAAAAGGAUGCUGUUUGCUCUGGAAUGUUCAUCUUUUAGACAGGUUUUUGCUCAUUUCCAAUCAUGGUGCAAUAUAGUGUAACAUUCAUUUGUUUUCAUUCAACAGUUUUAUUUUUGUCAUAAUAAAUAAUUACUUUU
ensembl:lncRNA